UACGUAGGGUCCGAGCGUUGUCCGGAAUUACUGGGCGUAAAGCGCGCGCAGGCGGCCCGCGAGGUGUCACGUGAAAGCCCCGGGCUCAACCCGGGAGGGUCGUGGCAAACCGGCGGGCUUGAGGCCGGUAGAGGUGGGUGGAACUCCUGGUGGAGUGGUGAAAUGCGUAGAGAUCAGGAAGAACGCCCGUGGCGAAGGCGGCCCACUGGGCCGGUACUGACGCUGAGGCGCGAAGGCGUGGGGAGCGAUCCGG
rnacentral:rRNA from 1 species